rnacentral:ncRNA from 1 species
AAAGCAUUUGCCAAGAAUGUCUUCAUUAAUCAAGAACGAAAGUCAGAGGUUCGAAGGCGAUUAGAUACCGCCCUAGUUCUGACCGUAAACGAUGCCAUCUCGCGAUUCGGAGGGUUCAUGCCCUACCGAGGAGCUACCCGGAAACGAAAGUCUUUCGGUUCCGGGGGUAGUAUGGUUGCAAAGCUGAAACUUAAAGAAAUUGACGGAAGGGCACCACAAGGCGUGGAGCUUGCGGCUUAAUUUGACUCAACACGGGAAAACUCACCCGGUCCGGACACUAUUAGGACUGACAGAUUGAAAGCUCUUUCUCGAUUUGGUGGUUGGUGGUGCAUGGCCGUUCUUAGUUGGUGGAGUGAUUUGUCUGGUUUAUUCCGAUAACGAGCGAGACUCUAGCCUGCUAAAUAGUCGACGAAUCUUCGGGUUCGUAUAACUUCUUAGAGGGAUAAGCGGUGUUUAGCCGCACGAGAUUGAGCGAUAACAGGUCUGUGAUGCCCCUUAGAUGUCCGGGGCUGCACGCGUGCUACACUGGUGGAGUCAGCGGGUUUUUCCUAUGCCGAAAGGUAUCGGUAAACCGUUGAACUUCUUCCAUGUCCGGGAUAGGGUAUUGUAAUUAUUACCCUUAAACCGAGGAAUGCCUAGUAAGUGUGAGUCAUCAGCUCACGUUGAUUACGUCCCUGCCCUUUGUACACACCGCCCGUCCCUAUCCGGGGACUGAACUGAUUCGAGAAGAGUGGGGACUGUGGCUGCAGGUUUUACCACUUCGCAGUUGCGGAAACCAUUUUUAUCGCAUUGGUUUGAACCGGGUAAAAGUCGUAACAAGGUAGCUGUAGGUGAACCUGCAGCUGGAUCAUCG